GACGAACGCUGGCGGCGUGCUUCAUACAUGCAAGUCGAACGAGAAGCUGACUUUGGUCUGUGGAAAGUGGCGGACGGGUGUGUAAUACGGAGGAAUUCUGCCUUUAGGAGCGGGACACCAGAGGGAAACUUCUGCUAGUACCCCAUAUUAAUUUAGCUGAGAUGCUCUUCUUGAAACCUCCGGUGCCUAAAGAUGAGCUUGCAUCUGAUUAGCUAGUUGGUAGUGUACUGGACUAUCAAGGCGACGAGCAGUAGCUGGUUUGAGAGGAUGAACAGCCACAAUAGGACUGAGAGACGGGCCAGAGUCGGAAAGGAUGCAGCAGGAGGGAAUUUCGCGCGAAGGGCGAAAGCCUGACGCAUCAACGCCGCGGGAACGAUUACGCCCUUCGGGCGGUAGAGUGCUGUCUGUUGGGACGAGACGUGACGGUACCGGCAGAAGAAGCACCGGCUAACUACGUG
rnacentral:rRNA from 1 species